GAUGAACGCUGGCGGCGUGCCUAAUACAUGCAAGUCGAGCGAACAGAUAAGGAGCUUGCUCCUUUGACGUUAGCGGCGGACGGGUGAGUAACACGUGGGUAACCUACCUAUAAGACUGGGAUAACUUCGGGAAACCGGAGCUAAUACCGGAUAACAUUUGGAACCGCAUGGUUCUAAAGUGAAAGAUGGUUUUGCUAUCACUUAUAGAUGGACCCGCGCCGUAUUAGCUAGUUGGUAAGGUAACGGCUUACCAAGGCAACGAUACGUAGCCGACCUGAGAGGGUGAUCGGCCACACUGGAACUGAGACACGGUCCAGACUCCUACGGGAGGCAGCAGUAGGGAAUCUUCCGCAAUGGGCGAAAGCCUGACGGAGCAACGCCGCGUGAGUGAUGAAGGGUUUCGGCUCGUAAAACUCUGUUAUUAGGGAAGAACAAACGUGUAAGUAGCUGUGCACGUCUUGACGGUACCUAAUCAGAAAGCCACGGCUAACUACGUG
rnacentral:rRNA from 1 species